UAGGGAAUCUUCCGCAAUGGACGCAAGUCUGACGGAGCAACGCCGCGUGAGUGAAGAAGGAUUUCGGUUCGUAAAACUCUGUUGUUAGAGAAGAACAGCGCAUAGAGUAACUGUUAUGCGUGUGACGGUAUCUAACCAGAAAGCCACGGCUAACUACGUGCCAGCAGCCGCGGUAAUACGUAGGUGGCAAGCGUUGUCCGGAUUUAUUGGGCGUAAAGCGAGCGCAGGCGGUCAAUUAAGUCUGAUGUGAAAGCCCCCGGCUCAACCGGGGAGGGUCAUUGGAAACUGGUUGACUUGAGAGCAGAAGAGGAGAGUGGAAUUCCAUGUGUAGCGGUGAAAUGCGUAGAUAUAUGGAGGAACACCAGUGGCGAAGGCGACUCUCUGGUCUGUAACUGAAGCUGAGGCUCGAAAGCGUGGGUAGCAAACAGG
rnacentral:rRNA from 1 species